rnacentral:rRNA from 1 species
GCACAAGCGGUGGAUGAUGUGGUUUAAUUCGAUGCAACGCGAAAAACCUUACCCACCUUUGACAUGUACGGAAUCCUUUAGAGAUAGAGGAGUGCUCGAAAGAGAACCGUAACACAGGUGCUGCAUGGCUGUCGUCAGCUCGUGUCGUGAGAUGUUGGGUUAAGUCCCGCAACGAGCGCAACCCUUGUCAUUAGUUGCUACAUUUAGUUGGGCACUCUAAUGAGACUGCCGGUGACAAACCGGAGGAAGGUGGGGAUGACGUCAAGUCCUCAUGGCCCUUAUAGGUGGGGCUACACACGUCAUACAAUGGAUGGUACAAAGGGUCGCCAACCCGCGAGGGGGAGCCAAUCCCAUAAAGCCAUUCGUAGUCCGGAUCGCAGUCUGCAACUCGACUGCGUGAAGUCGGAAUCGCUAGUAAUCGUGGAUCAGAAUGUCACGGUGAAUACGUUCCCGGGCCUUGUACACACCG